CCUACGGGUGGCAGCAGUGGGGAAUAUUGCACAAUGGGGGAAACCCUGAUGCAGCGACGCCGCGUGAGUGAAGAAGUAUUUCGGUAUGUAAAGCUCUAUCAGCAGGGAAGAAAAAAGACGGUACCUGACUAAGAAGCACCGGCUAACUACGUGCCAGCAGCCGCGGUAAUACGUAGGGGGCAAGCGUUAUCCGGAUUUACUGGGUGUAAAGGGAGCGUAGACGGCGCGGCAAGUCUGAAGUGAAAGGCAGGGGCUUAACCCCUGAACUGCUUUGGAAACUGCCAUGCUAGAGUGCUGGAGAGGUAAGUGGAAUUCCUAGUGUAGCGGUGAAAUGCGAAGAUAUUAGGAGGAACACCAGUGGCGAAGGCAGCUUACCAAGCUACUUCUGACGUUGAGGCACGAAAGCGUGGGGAGCAAACAGGAUUAGAUACCCGUGUAGUC
rnacentral:rRNA from 1 species